UACGGAGGAUGCGAGCGUUAUCCGGAUUUAUUGGGUUUAAAGGGUGCGUAGGCGGAGUGUCAAGUCAGCGGUAAAAUUUCGGGGCUCAACCCCGUCGUGCCGUUGAAACUGACGCCCUUGAGUGAGUGAGAAGUAAGCGGAAUGCGUGGUGUAGCGGUGAAAUGCAUAGAUAUCACGCAGAACGCCCGAUUGCGAAGGCAGCUUACCGGCGCUCAACUGACGCUGAGGACGAAAGUGCGGGUAUCGCAACAGG
rnacentral:rRNA from 1 species